GAGUGACAAGGUACCGGAGGAGUUUGAUUCUGGCUCAGGACGAACGCUGGCGGCGUGCCUAAUACAUGCAAGUCGAGCGGACAGAUGGGAGCUUGCUCCCUGAUGUUAGCGGCGGACGGGUGAGUAACACGUGGGUAACCUGCCUGUAAGACUGGGAUAACUCCGGGAAACCGGGGCUAAUACCGGAUGGUUGUUUGAACCGCAUGGUUCAGACAUAAAAGGUGGCUUCGGCUACCACUUACAGAUGGACCCGCGGCGCAUUAGCUAGUUGGUGAGGUAACGGCUCACCAAGGCAACGAUGCGUAGCCGACCUGAGAGGGUGAUCGGCCACACUGGGACUGAGACACGGCCCAGACUCCUACGGGAGGCAGCAGUAGGGAAUCUUCCGCAAUGGACGAAAGUCUGACGGAGCAACGCCGCGUGAGUGAUGAAGGUUUUCGGAUCGUAAAGCUCUGUUGUUAGGGAAGAACAAGUGCCGUUCAAAUAGGGCGGCACCUUGACGGUACCUAACCAGAAAGCCACGGCUAACUACGUGCCAGCAGCCGCGGUAAUACGUAGGUGGCAAGCGUUGUCCGGAAUUAUUGGGCGUAAAGGGCUCGCAGGCGGUUUCUUAAGUCUGAUGUGAAAGCCCCCGGCUCAACCGGGGAGGGUCAUUGGAAACUGGGGAACUUGAGUGCAGAAGAGGAGAGUGGAAUUCCACGUGUAGCGGUGAAAUGCGUAGAGAUGUGGAGGAACACCAGUGGCGAAGGCGACUCUCUGGUCUGUAACUGACGCUGAGGAGCGAAAGCGUGGGGAGCGAACAGGAUUAGAUACCCUGGUAGUCCACGCCGUAAACGAUGAGUGCUAAGUGUUAGGGGGUUUCCGCCCCUUAGUGCUGCAGCUAACGCAUUUUA
rnacentral:rRNA from 1 species